GUUAUAUAUGGGUGUACACUUAUCACUUCACUAAUACAUUCGAACACGGAAUGGCUAUACACAACCAUAUUGAAGUCUAGCAUAAUGCAGGUGCUUUCGGAUAACUUCUUUUCAUAAUGUGUGAUGCACACAUAUCAAAAUCACAUUUCGAAAAUACAAAGCGACAUAACAUUUAUAACGAAGUAAAAUUUUAACAAAU
rnacentral:lncRNA from 1 species